rnacentral:rRNA from 1 species
AUUGAACGCUGGCGGCAGGCCUAACACAUGCAAGUCGAACGAGUGGCGGACGGGUGAGUAAUGGCUGGGCAACUGCCUGACGUACGGGGAUAACUACUGGAAACGGUAGCUAAUACCGCAUACCAUCAGAUGUGCCCAGGCGGGAUUAGCUUGUUGGUGUGGUAACGGCUCACCAAGGCGACGAGCCAGAGCUGGUCUGAGAGGAUGACCGGCCAAACUGGAAAUGAGACACGGACCAGACUCCUACGGGAGGCAGCAGUGGGGAAUAUUGCGCAAUGGGCGCAAGCCUGACGCAGCAAUGCCGCGUGUAUGAAGAAGGCUUUCGGGUUGUAAAGCACUUUCAGCAGGGAGGCGGUACCCGACGAAGAAGCAACGGCUAACUACGUGCCAGCAGCCGCGGUAAUAC